rnacentral:rRNA from 1 species
UGGGGAAUAUUGCGCAAUGGGGGAAACCCUGACGCAGCGACGCCGCGUGUGGGAUGAAGGUCUUCGGAUUGUAAACCACUGUCGCGAGGGACGAAGCUCUGACGGUACCUCGAAAGGAAGCACCGGCUAACUCUGUGCCAGCAGCCGCGGUAAUACAGAGGGUGCGAGCGUUGUCCGGAAUCACUGGGCGUAAAGGGCGCGUAGGCGGCCCGGUAAGUAGGGGGUGAAAUCUCAUGGCUCAACUGUGAGGCUGCCUUCUAGACUGCCAGGCUUGAGCACAGUAGAGGCGAGUGGAAUUCACGGUGUAGCGGUGGAAUGCGUAGAGAUCGGGAAGAACAUCGGUGGCGAAGGCGGCUCGCUGGGCUGUUGCUGACGCUGAGGCGCGAAAGCGUGGGGAGCAAACAGGAUUAGAUACCCCUGUAGUCCCUGAGCGGGCUGGCAAGGCGCAU